UGGGGAAUAUUGGACAAUGGGCGCAAGCCUGAUCCAGCCAUGCCGCGUGAGGGAUGAAGGCCCUAGGGUUGUAAAGCUCUUUCACCGGUGAAGAUAAUGACGGUAACCGGAGAAGAAGCCCCGGCUAAAUUCGUGCCAGCAGCCGCGGUAAUACGAAGGGGGCUAGCGUUGUUCGGAUUUACUGGGCGUAAAGCGCACGUAGGCGGACUAUUAAGUCAGGGGUGAAAUCCCGGGGCUCAACCCCGGAACUGCCUUUGAUACUGGUAGUCUUGAGUUCGAGAGCGGUGAGUGGAAUUCCGGGUGUAGCGGUGAAAUUCGUAGAUAUUCGGAGGACCACCAGUGGCGAAGGCGGCUCCCUGGCUCGAUACUGACGCUGAGGUGCUAAAGCGUGGGGAGCCAACAGG
rnacentral:rRNA from 1 species